CAGUUUUUAAGUGAAUUUUACUCUAAAAACUGCAUUUUUUAAUAGCACAUUAGACCGAUUUAUUUGUUAGCAUUAUCGUUUUAAUAACUGUAGAGACUUGUAAGAUCUUGAGAGAAUCUUCUGAGACUUCAUUCUGUCGACUGUACCUCCGAGUCAGUCGAUAAUCGAUAUAAACGGCACACGUUUAACAACUUACUGUAACACAUGUUUGGUCUGUAUAUGCUGAAAGAAUAGAUAUGGAAAUUUGCUCCCCAACAGCAAAUUACGCCAAUUUUUACGAUCCUAAUCUGUUAUCUCUAUUGUUGCAGUCAAGGGCAUCGCAGCACGUCAAUUAAUACGGGAAUAUAAUGUCUGCCUUCUCAAUAAUUGCAUAUUUUUACGUAGAAAUACAAUACUUCAGGGAAAAAAGAAAUGGCACGGAUCAAAUUGGUAUAUCAAAGAACAAAAUGGUGGAAAAUAUAAAUGGAAGCAUAUGCCGUAUAUUUCGAUUUUUGCCGUCCAAAAUUCCAAUAGGUAGAAUACUCCAAGCGUUAAAUCCGUGUGCAGGUUUAAUAUUUCUCUAGCAUUUGAAGUUAUGUAUAUAGGAAAGGAAGGAAUAAGUUUGUCCGGCAGUCAUAUUCCCACGCGUACUACACGGAAUGAUAACGAUUUGGUCAUUCAAAAUUAUAGUUUUCCAGAGUAAACAUUAGCAUUGUCAUAAUUGGAGAAACUGUCGCAAGAGCCACAAACUGGCAAGACGUCUCUAGAGUAUGGCAGAAGGUUUGUCUCUUGAGAAAUUUACUCAUCAUCGAUCUCUGAUCCGAAUGCCUACUCCAGUUUUCCGUUUGCCGAUAGGGAAAAAGGCUGGAUUUCUUCUUCAUCCCCAUUUCAAUCGAGUGUGUCUUCAAUACAAAGCUUCCAUCAAAAAAAUGGAGCUAAAAAAAAUCCAGAAUUUCUUUUAUUUAAAGGACAGAAAUUCGGUGAUUUAUGAUUAAUCGAUAUUUAUUUAGAUUUCCGUCGUUUUAACAAAUUUGGCGAAAAACGUUUCUCUGUGGUCGAUUGUUCGGGAUUGUUCAGGUGCGAUUUUAAUCAGGAUUAAACUCAAUUUAAUUAAAAAGAAAC
rnacentral:lncRNA from 1 species